rnacentral:lncRNA from 1 species
UCUUCUUUUAUCUUUUGGAAUGGUAUGAAAUUGAAUGGUAUGUUUUGGAUAAUUUUUAUGGAAUGUGUAUGAAUAUAUGUUUGAAUGAUUUUUUCAGGUUAUAUGAAUGUCUAAGACCUUACAAUAGACGUCUUCUAAAAUUUAAAUAUUUCCUAUAAUUUUUUAGAAAUUAGCCACGGCCUUUUGGCAUUUAGCCACGGAAUUUGGUCGUCGCCCUUCACUUUCCACUUUAUUUCAAGGAUUUAGCCACGACCAAUAAAAGAUUAGCCACGGAUUUUGGCCGCGACCCUUCACUUUUCUCUCUGUUUCAAAGAUUUAGUCACGGCCAUUAAAAGAUUAGCCAUUUUUCAUUCCUCAAAAAAAUUAGACACGGCAAAAAAAAAUAGCCAUCGAAUUAUGCCGUGGUUAAUUUUUUUAAAAAAUUUACCCGAUUACCGAUUACCAAUAUUAGCCACAGAAAAUAACCGUGGCUAAAAAUUAGUAGCCACAAGACCUAUAGUCAUGACACCUCCCGUGGCUAAAGGAUUUUGCCAUUUAACCAGUGAACUUGGCCGUGACUGUUUCCCUAUUUUCUUGUAGUGACAAGUGAAGCCUUUAGCCUUGGCAAGCGUGUUGCCAAGGAAGAAUGUAUGAGUCAAAACGUGCGUGUAGGGAGUAUCGGCAACAACUGCAGAAGACAAAAAAACAGUUAGAUAGAAUAAAAAGGUAGAUAGAAUCGCGAUGUUAACUCACCAUCGAUCUUCCAUGGUGCGUAAUGGGAAAGGAGAUGAUUUUAGCAAACUGAGGAAGAGAUGAUUCUAGCCACGGAAUUUGGCCGUCGCCCUUCACUUUCCACUUUAUUUUCAAGGAUUUAGCCACAGCCAAUAAAAGAUUUGCCACGGAUUUUGGCCGCGACCUUCCAUUUCUCUCUCUAUUUCAAGAAUUUAGUCACGAAAAUUAAAAGAUUAGCCAUUUUUCAUUCCUCAAAAAAAUUAGACACGACAAAAAAAAAUAGUCAUUGAAUUAUGCCGUGGUUAAUUUUUUUUAAAAUUUUACCCGAUUACCGAUUACCAAUAUUAGCUACAAAAAAUAGCCGUGGCUAAAAAUUAGCUACAGAAAACCAUUUUCGUGACCAAAAAUCAGUAGUCACCAAACCUACAACCACGACACCUCCCGUGUUUAACCUUUAGCCUUGGCAAGCGUGUUGCAAAAGAAGAAUAUAUGAGUCAAAACAUGCGUGUAGGAAGUAUCGACAACAACGGCAGAAAACAAAAAAACAGUUAGAAUAAAAAGGUAGAUAGAAUCGCGAUGUUGUUAACUCACUAUCGAUCUUCCAUGGUGGGCAACCGGAAAGGAGAUGAUUCUAGCAAACUGAAGAAGAGAAGAAUAAAAAAAAGAUACGACAGGAAGACAUUAAAUAAGAGGGAAGAAAAAGACAGAUUAAUUCAGACAUUUAUGAAGGUUACCUUUUGCGUUCUCCAACGUUUUGGAAAUGAGGAAGAGCAACCGAUAUGAGAAAGAAUGUAGCGCCUAUCUAGUCAGGUGUAAAGUCUACCAUCAGUCGACGCGGCAGAGAGCUCACACCACCCAUCAGUAGGGGGAAGCUUUUCAGCACAGCGACAUCCCAAGGAAAUUAAUCUUGACGGCAUUGGGAGUCAAGAACGAAAGGAAAGCGGAUCGUGGAGGCAGCAAAGAGGGCAGAUCUUGAUGCGACGGAGUGUGGCUCAGUUUGCUGGUCGCAACGCAUGAACUUAAAGAUAGAGAUCGCUGAAGAGAAAGGGAGGAAGACAAGUACGAGGAAGAAAGAAAUGAGGUGUGUAGAUGCGUGGAUGAAACUGAGGAGUGUUCAAUGCCAUUUCUUAUAACGGAGAGCUGCGAAGUUACCAAGAAGAAUUUUAACGAAGUUUGGUGAGGGGGCGUCUUUUAUUUAAUUUACCCCAUAGGGAUGAAAACGUGAAGUACAGUCACAUGCAAACAAAAUAUGCAAUAUCACUAGGAAAUCAAAGAUAAAGAAAGGAGCCCAAUACAAGUCCAGUUGUUAGUCGUGGGUGUUGUUCUUGCAACGACUGGUUUGUCGACGAGCGGCGUACAGAGAAGGUUCGCUAACUGCAUCAGCAAGGGUAGGUACCACGCCUCUUUCCUUUUUUAGUUGAGCAAGGCGGAGACGGAUGUCAAUGAGUAGUUUAUGAGUACGUUAUGAAAGAUAUUGCAAGUGGGAGAAAAGGGAGUCAUUUUUGGUCACGAUCUGUAUCAGUUCCAAAGCAAAUUCCUCGAAUGCGGCUAUAAACAUCACAAACACUGACAAAUGGAAACGAGAGACAUAACAGUCCAAGUAAUCUGCUGCUGGGGUUAAUUUUAAAUCAUUUAAC